rnacentral:rRNA from 1 species
AUUGAUUUCACACGAGCUAAUGACCUCUGUAGUCUGCCUUCAGCCUGCUUCCUGCCAUCCUUCAAGAAGUCGUAUUCAUCUUCACCUUCUGCAGAUCCACCUUCUGCAGGUUGGAUCUGCGAGGACGGCCCUUCAAGUUGUUUGUCAGGUUGGAAACCACGCAAGCCCCUUCCCUUUCUCCUCCACCUCAGUAUAACUUUCUCCACGAUGCCUACUGACCAGACUACCUUCUUAUAG